AUACGUAGGGUGCAAGCGUUAAUCGGAAUUACUGGGCGUAAAGCGUGCGCAGGCGGUUCGGAAAGAAGGAUGUGAAAUCCCAGGGCUCAACCUUGGAACUGCAUUCUUAACUACCGAACUAGAGUAUGUCAGAGGGGGGUAGAAUUCCGCGUGUAGCAGUGAAAUGCGUAGAUAUGCGGAGGAAUACCGAUGGCGAAGGCAGCCCCCUGGGAUAAUACUGACGCUCAUGCACGAAAGCGUGGGUAGCAAACAGGAUUAGAUACCCUGGUAGUCCACGCCCUAAACGAUGUCAACUAGCUGUUGGGCCCUUCGGGGCUUAGUAGCGUAGCUAACGCGUGAAGUUGACCGCCUGGGGAGUACGGUCGCAAGGUUAAAACUCAAAUGAAUUGACGGGG
rnacentral:rRNA from 1 species